rnacentral:rRNA from 2 species
AGAGUUUGAUCCUGGCUCAGACCUGGGGCAGCUAUAAUGCAGUCGAACGAACUCUGGUAUUGAUUGGUGCUUGCAUCAUGAUUUACAUUUGAGUGAGUGGCGAACUGGUGAGUAACACGUGGGAAACCUGCCCAGAAGCGGGGGAUAACACCUGGAAACAGAUGCUAAUACCGCAUAACAACUUGGACCGCAUGGUCCGAGUUUGAAAGAUGGCUUCGGCUAUCACUUUUGGAUGGUCCCGCGGCGUAUUAGCUAGAUGGUGGGGUAACGGCUCACCAUGGCAAUGAUACGUAGCCGACCUGAGAGGGUAAUCGGCCACAUUGGGACUGAGACACGGCCCAAACUCCUACGGGAGGCAGCAGUAGGGAAUCUUCCACAAUGGACGAAAGUCUGAUGGAGCAACGCCGCGUGAGUGAAGAAGGGUUUCGGCUCGUAAAACUCUGUUGUUAAAGAAGAACAUAUCUGAGAGUAACUGUUCAGGUAUUGACGGUAUUUAACCAGAAAGCCACGGCUAACUACGUGCCAGCAGCCGCGGUAAUACGUAGGUGGCAAGCGUUGUCCGGAUUUAUUGGGCGUAAAGCGAGCGCAGGCGGUUUUUUAAGUCUGAUGUGAAAGCCUUCGGCUCAACCGAAGAAGUGCAUCGGAAACUGGGAAACUUGAGUGCAGAAGAGGACAGUGGAACUCCAUGUGUAGCGGUGAAAUGCGUAUAUAUAUGGAAGAACACCAGUGGCGAAGGCGGCUGUCUGGUCUGUAACUGACGCUGAGGCUCGAAAGUAUGGGUAGCAAACAGGAUUAGAUACCCUGGUAGUCCAUACCGUACACGAUGAAUGCUAAGUGUUGGAGGGUUUCCGCCCUUCAGUGCUGCAGCUAACGCAUUAAGCAUUCCGCCUGGGGAGUACGGCCGCAAGGCUGAAACUCAAAGGAAUUGACGGGGGCCCGCACAGCGGUGGAGCAUGUGGUUAAUUCGAAGCUACGCGAAGAACCUUACCAGGUCUUGACAUACUAUGCAAAUCUAAAAAUUAGACG